rnacentral:rRNA from 1 species
CCUACGGGAGGCUGCAGUGGGGAAUAUUGCACAAUGGGGGAAACCCUGAUGCAGCGACGCCGCGUGAGUGAAGAAGGAAUUCGGUAUGUAAAGCUCUAUCAGCAGGGAAGAAAAUGACGGUAACUGAGUAAGAAGACCCGGCUAACUACGUGCCAGCAGCCGCGGUAAUACGUAGGGGGCAAGCGUUAUCCGGAUUUACUGGGGGUAAAGGGAGCGUAGACGGCAGGGCAAGUCUGGGGUGAAAGGCGGGGGGUCAACCCCCGGACUGCUCUGGAAACUGUACGGCUGGAGUGCAGGGGAGGUAAGUGGAAUUCCUCGUGUAGCGGUGAAAUGCGUAGAUAUUAGGAGGAACACCAGUGGCGAAGGCGGCUUACUGGACUGUAACUGACGUUGAGGCUCGAAAGCGUGGGGAGCAAACAGGAUUAGAUACCCUGGUAGUC